rnacentral:rRNA from 1 species
CCUACGGGAGGCUGCAGUGGGGAAUAUUGGACAAUGGGGGGAACCCUGAUCCAGCCAUGCCGCGUGUGUGAAGAAGGCCCUCGGGUUGUAAAGCACUUUCAGUGAGGAAGAACGCCUGGUGGUUAAUACCCAUCAGGAAAGACAUCACUCACAGAAGAAGCACCGGCUAACUCCGUGCCAGCAGCCGCGGUAAUACGGAGGGUGCGAGCGUUAAUCGGAAUUACUGGGCGUAAAGCGCGCGUAGGUGGCUUGAUAGGCCGGUUGUGAAAGCCCCGGGCUCAACCUGGGAACGGCAUCCGGAACUGUCAAGCUAGAGUGCAGGAGAGGAAGGUAGAAUUCCCGGUGUAGCGGUGAAAUGCGUAGAGAUCGGGAGGAAUACCAGUGGCGAAGGCGGCCUUCUGGACUGACACUGACACUGAGGUGCGAAAGCGUGGGUAGCAAACAGGAUUAGAUACCCCAGUAGUC